UACAGAGGGGGCAAGCGUUGUUCGGAAUUACUGGGCGUAAAGGGCGCGUAGGUGGCCUUCUAAGUUGAACGUGAAAUCCCUGGGCUCAACCCAGGAACUGCGUCCAAGACUGGGAAGCUUGAAUCCGGGAGAGGGAUGCGGAAUUCCAGGUGUAGCGGUGAAAUGCGUAGAUAUCUGGAGGAACACCGGUGGCGAAGGCGGCAUCCUGGACCGGUAUUGACACUGAGGCGCGAAAGCCAGGGGAGCAAACGGG
rnacentral:rRNA from 1 species